AAUACUUGUCCUAAAAAUGAAUAUAAUGAAUGUAUCUAUAACUAAAAUAAGUCUAGAUACAUUCAUCUCUAGGACAAGUAUUUUCGGACGGAGGGAGUACAAA
rnacentral:pre_miRNA from 1 species